UACGUAGGGGGCAAGCGUUGUCCGGAAUCAUUGGGCGUAAAGAGCGCGUAGGCGGUCCGGUAAGUCUGAUGUGAAAGCCCUGGGCUCAACUCAGGAAUUGCAUUGGAAACUGGCGGACUCAGAGUACCGGAGAGGGAAGCGGAAUUCCUGGUGUAGCGGUGAAAUGCGUAGAUACCAGGAGGAACACCGGUGGCGAAAGCGGUUUCCUGGCCGAGUACUGACGCUGAGGCACGAAAGCGUGGGGAGCGAACGGG
rnacentral:rRNA from 1 species